GCGGACGGGUGAGUAACACGUGGAUAACCUACCUAUAAGACUGGGAUAACUUCGGGAAACCGGAGCUAAUACCGGAUAAUAUAUUGAACCGCAUGGUUCAAUAGUGAAAGACGGUUUUGCUGUCACUUAUAGAUGGAUCCGCGCCGCAUUAGCUAGUUGGUAAGGUAACGGCUUACCAAGGCAACGGUGCGUAGCCACCUGAGAGGGUGAUCGGCCACACUGGAACUGAGACACGGCCCAG
rnacentral:rRNA from 1 species